CCUACGGGCGGCUGCAGUGAGGAAUAUUGGUCAAUGGGCGCGAGCCUGAACCAGCCAAGUAGCGUGAAGGAUGACUGCCCUACGGGUUGUAAACUUCUUUUAUAAAGGAAUAAAGUGAGGCACGUGUGCCUUUUUGUAUGUACUUUAUGAAUAAGGCUCGGCUAACUCCGUGCCAGCAGCCGCGGUAAUACGGAGGAUCCGAGCGUUAUCCGGAUUUAUUGGGUUUAAAGGGAGCGUAGAUGGGUUGUUCAGUCCGGUGUGAAAGUUUGCGGCUCAACCGUAAAAUUGCAAUUGAUACUGGCAGCCUUGAGUGCAGUUGAGGUAGGCGGAAUGCGUGGUGUAGCGGUGAAAUGCAUAGAUAUCACGAAGAACUCCGAUUGCGAAGGCAGCCUACUGGACUGCAACUGACAUUGAUGCUGGAAAGUGUGGGUAUCGAACAGGAUUAGAUACCCGUGUAGUC
rnacentral:rRNA from 1 species